GCAGAACGCGAAGAACCUUACCAAGGCUUGACAUAUACGAGAACGCUCUAGAAAUAGAGAACUCUUUGGACACUCGUAUACAGGUGGUGCAUGGUUGUCGUCAGCUCGUGUCGUGAGAUGUUGGGUUAAGUCCCGCAACGAGCGCAACCCUCGUUCUAUGUUGCCAGCGGUUUCGGCCGGGAGCUCAUAGGAGACUGCCGGGGUUCAACUCGGAGGAAGGUGGGGAUGACGUCAAAUCAUCAUGCCCCUUAUGUCUUGGGCUUCACGCAUGCUACAAUGGCCGGUACAAAGGGCUGCAAUACCGUAAGGUGGGUCGAAUCCCGAAAAAGCCGGUCUCAGUUCGGAUUGAGGUCUGCAACUCGACCUCAUGAAGUCGGAGUCGCUAGUAAUCGCAGAUCAGCAACGCUGCGGUGAAUACGUUCCCGGGUUCUUGUACACACCG
rnacentral:rRNA from 1 species